rnacentral:piRNA from 1 species
UGCAGAAACUCUGAUGACUGUGCCAAAAAC